AACGUAGGUGGCGAGCGUUAUCCGGAUUUACUGGGCGUAAAGCGUGUGCAGGCGGCUUAUCAAGUGGUGUAUGAAAUAUCCAGCUCAACCUGGAGGGGUUAUGCCAGACUGGUAGGCUAGAGUGCGAGAGAGGGGCGUGGAAGUUCCGGGUGUAGUGGUGAAAUGCGUAGAGAUCCGGAGGAACCCCAGAGGCGAAGGCGGCGCCCUGGCUCGACACUGACGCUCAGACACGACAGCAUGGGGAGCGAACGGG
rnacentral:rRNA from 1 species